AUGCUCACUUCUUCAGCACAUAUACUAAAAUUGGAAUGAUACAGAGAUAAGCAUGGCCCCAGCACGAGGAUGACAAAUUCAUGAAGCAUUCCAUACUUUU
rnacentral:snRNA from 1 species